rnacentral:lncRNA from 1 species
UUUUUUCACCCUUAGCCCUCUACAGGCCAAGACCCGUUCCUCAACAGGAAACAUGCAUGCAAUGCAACUCAAAAACAAUUUCAAUAAUAUUUGAUCCUUUGUGUGUAUAUGUAUCUUAUACUACAAUCCAUAAAUAUAAAAUAAAAAAAUAAAACAAAUUGCCGUCCCGUUACAGGUACAAAAAAAACAAACAAAAAAGAAGCUCCCUCCUCCUCCCUGACGUACGUCUAGUCUUGCAAUAUUUCCGCCCUCCUAACUUAAAAAAAACACAUAAACG